ACACCGGCAGCUCUAGUGGUAACAAUUUUUAUUGGGCCUAAAGCGUCCGUAGCCGGUUUAAUAAGUCUCUGGUGAAAUCCUGUAGCUUAACUGUGGGAAUUGCUGGAGAUACUACUAGACUUGAGACCGGGAGAGGUUAGAGGUACUCCCAGGGUAGAGGUGAAAUUCUGUAAUCCUGGGAGGACCGCCUGUUGCGAAGGCGUCUAACUGGAACGGUUCUGACGGUGAGGGACGAAAGUUAGGGGCGCGAACCGGAUUAGAUACCCGGGUAGUCCUAACUGUAAACGAUGCGGACUUGGUGUUGGGGUGGCUUUGAGCUGCUCCAGUGCCGAAGGGAAGCUGUUAAGUCCGCCGCCUGGGAAGUACGGUCGCAAGACUGAAACUCAAAGGAAUUGACGGGG
rnacentral:rRNA from 1 species